AGGAGGAACAACCACGGUGGCAGUGGAGCUCUGGAAACCUGGAUUCAGCCCCCACAGGAACUCUGAAGCACUAUGCCUGCAGGGCCUGGAGGCUCCGGGGCAGG
rnacentral:pre_miRNA from 1 species